AGUUUAAGACAUUGCCCUUGACUCCAGUCACAUUUUCUCCCGUGGCGUUCUGGACUGGACAUUCAGACUGUCUGGGAGAAACUGAAUCCGCUGCCUGGACAGCUGCUCUCAUUAAUUUUAAUUCCGAUCCGACCCAGCCUCUCAUCCAAAAUGUGAAGCAUAGUUUUUACUUUGGUCCUCGCAUUCCUGGAGGCCUGAAGGGACACACUGGAAAAUGCAUCAGUCACAGUUACUUCCCAGGCGGAAACACUGAGUCCCCACAAACAGGCCCAAGUACAGGACCCCGGGACCUGAAGAAAUGUAUCAGAAGUCCUCGUCCACGGCAGAUAUUUACUGUUACUUGGUCGCAGCUCUCAAGGCUUGGUGCGAGCCGGCUCCAUCCUUGGGCAGAACCCAUGCCACAGUUCUGCUCGUCUCUCCUGGGGCGUUGCCCGUGGGCACGGAACACAGCCAGCGAACAGUGACGUCUCUCCUGGCAGCGUCUGCCCUCUGACUCUCAGUGGCCUCGGCACACACAGAUGCACCAGGGAGAGCCUUGUUCACUGACACUUCUGAAUGACACAGAAGGGGACUGCGGAGAAGGGACGUAAACAACUGGGAGUCUCCCUCCCUCUCCAUUCCCUUUCCUCUUCCGCCCUGCCUGACUCUUCUUCC